rnacentral:lncRNA from 1 species
AAUUUGGCAAGAUUUCGAUGAACUAAGAACGUCAUCAAAAUAGAACGGUACAAGUUUGGAACUUAUUUUUUGAAUUUUUAAGUUUCUUUAUGAAUUUAGAUUGGUUUAUUCAACCUAAUUUACCAAAGUUCGAUGGAACGAACUUUAUCAUUUGAUAUUUUUUAGAAUUCUAAGAUUUGUGGGAUGUCGUGAAGAAUAGUAAUUAUGAAAAAGAAUUUGAUAAAAAUGAAUUUAGAAAAAGAGAAAGAGAAGUUCUAUCAUAUAUUUUUCAAGCAGUGGAUCUGUCGUUUGUUGGAAAAAUUUCAAUGACAAAGACGGCACGAGAAGCGUGGAGAAUGCUAGCAAAAAUUGGAAGAGAAGAUUUGCAUGAAGAG